rnacentral:rRNA from 1 species
AGCGUCGAACAGUAACUGAAGGAUUCGAUCAUGGCUCAGAUUGAACGCUGGCGGGAUUUACACAUGCAAGUCGAACGGCAGCACGGCCGGACUUCGGUCUGGUGGCGAGUGGCGAACAGGUGAGUAAUGUAUCGGAACGUGCCUAGUAGCGGGGGAUAACUACGCGAAAGCGUAGCUAAUACCGCAUACGCCCUUCAGCGGGGAAAGCAGGGGACCUUCGGGCCUCGCACUAUUAGAGCGGCCGAUAUCGGAUUAGCUAGUUGGUGGGGUAACGGCUCACAAGGCGACGAUCCGUAGCUGGUUUGAGAGGACGACCAGCCACACUGGGACUGAGACACGGCCCAGACUCCUACGGGGAGGCAGCAGUGGGGAAUUUUGGACAAUGGGGGAAACCCUGAUCCAGCCAUCCCGCGUGUGCGAUGAAGGCCUUCGGGUUGUAAAGCACUUUUGGCAGGAAAGAAACGGCACGGGAUAAUACCCCGUGCAACUGACGGUACCUGCAGAAUAAGCACCGGCUAACUACGUGCCAGCAGCCGCGGUAAUACGUAAGUGCAAGCGUUAAUCGGAAUUACUGGGCGUAAAGCGUGCGCAGGCGGUUCGGAAAGAAAGAUGUGAAAUCCCAGAGCUUAACUUUGGAACUGCAUUUUAACUACCGAGCUAGAGUGUGUCAGAGGGAGGUGGAAUUCCGCGUGUAGCAGUGAAAUGCGUAGAUAUGCGGAGGAACACCGAUGGCGAAGGCAGCCUCCUGGGAUAACACUGACGCUCAUGCACGAGAAAGCGUGGGGAGCAAACGGGAUUAGAUACCCUGUUAGUCCACGCCUAAACGAUGUCAACUAGCUGUUGGGGCCUUCGGGCCUUGGUAGCGCAACUAACGCGUGAAGUUGACCGCCUGGGAAUACGGUCGCAAGAUUAAAACUCAAAGGAAUUGACGGGGACCCGCACAAGCGGUGGAUGAUGUGGAUUAAUUCGAUGCAACGCGAAAAACCUUACCUACCCUUGACAUGUCUGGAAUCCCGAAGAGAUUUGGGAGUGCUCGCAAGAGAACCGGAACACAGGUGCUGCAUGGCUGUCGUCAGCUCGUGUCGUGAGAUGUUGGGUUAAGUCCCGCAACGAGCGCAACCCUUGUCAUUAGUUGCUACGAAGACCUCUAAUGAGACUGCCGGUGACAAACCGGAGGAAGGUGGGGAUGACGUCAAGUCCUCAUGGCCCUUAUGGGUAGGGCUUCACACGUCAUACAAUGGUCGGGACAGAGGGUCGCCAACCCGCGAGGGGGAGCCAAUCCCAGAAACCCGAUCGUAGUCCGGAUCGCAGUCUGCAACUCGACUGCGUGAAGUCAGAAUCGCUGUGUCGCGGAUCAGCAUGUCGCGGUGAAUACGUUCCCGGGUCUUGUACACACCGCCCGUCACACCAUGGGAGUGGGUUUUACCAGAAGUAGUUAGCCUAACCGUAAGGAGGCGAUUACCACGGUAGGAUUCAUGACUGGGGUGAAGUCGUAACAAGGCCAG